rnacentral:tRNA from 1 species
AUCUUUCUAGUACUAAAAAGUAUAAGUGACUUCCAAUCACCCGGUCUUGGUUAAAGCCCAAGGAAAGAUA